rnacentral:rRNA from 1 species
AUUGAACGCUGGCGGCAUGCCUUACACAUGCAAGUCGAACGGUAACGGGCCUUCGGGUGCCGACGAGUGGCGAACGGGUGAGUAAUGUAUCGGAACGUACCUUUCAGUGGGGGAUAACGUAGCGAAAGUUACGCUAAUACCGCAUAUUCUGUAAGCAGGAAAGCAGGGGAUCGCAAGACCUUGCGCUGAUUGAGAGGCCGAUAUCAGAUUGGCUAGUUGGUGAGGUAAAGGCUCACCAAGGCGACGAUCUGUAGCGGGUCUGAGAGGAUGAUCCGCCACACUGGAACUGAGACACGGGCCAGACUCCUACGGGAGGCAGCAGUGGGGAAUUUUGGACAAUGGGGGCAACCCUGAUCCAGCAAUGCCGCGUGCAGGAUGAAGGCCUUCGGGUUGUAAACUGCUUUUGUACGGAACGAAAAGUCCCGGGUUAAUACCCUGGGGUCAUGACGGUACCGUAAGAAUAAGCACCGGCUAACUACGUGCCAGCAGCCGCCGUAAUAC